UACGUAGGGUGCGAGCGUUGUCCGGAAUUAUUGGGCGUAAAGGGCGCGUAGGCGGUUGGAUAAGUCUUGUGUGAAAUCUUCGGGCUCAACUUGAAGUCUGCACGAGAAACUAUCUGGCUUGAGUGUGGGAGAGGUGAGUGGAAUUCCUGGUGUAGCGGUGAAAUGCGUAGAUAUCAGGAGGAACACCUGUGGCGAAAGCGGCUCACUGGACCACAACUGACGCUGAGGCGCGAAAGCUAGGGGAGCAAACAGG
rnacentral:rRNA from 1 species